rnacentral:piRNA from 1 species
UGGGAAAAGGUGUUUUCUUCUAAUGCAAG